AGAGUUUGAUCAUGGCUCAGAUUGAACGCUGGCGGCAGGCUUCACACAUGCAAGUCGAACGGUAACAGGAAGGAAGCUUGCUUUCUUUGCUGACGAGUGGCGGACGGGUGAGUAAUGCUUGGGAAUCUGGCUUAUGGAGGGGGAUAACUACGGGAAACUGUAGCUAAUACCGCGUAAUAUCUUCGGAUUAAAGGGUGGGACUUUCGGGCCACCUGCCAUAAGAUGAGCCCAAGUGGGAUUAGGUAGUUGGUGGGGUAAAGGCCUACCAAGCCGACGAUCUCUAGCUGGUCUGAGAGGAUGACCAGCCACACUGGAACUGAGACACGGUCCAGACUCCUACGGGAGGCAGCAGUGGGGAAUAUUGCACAAUGGGGGGAACCCUGAUGCAGCCAUGCCGCGUGAAUGAAGAAGGCCUUCGGGUUGUAAAGUUCUUUCGGUGAUGAGGAAGGUGUUUGUUUUAAUAGAACAAGCAAUUGACGUUAGUCACAGAAGAAGCACCGGCUAACUCCGUGCCAGCAGCCGCGGUAAUACGGAGGGUGCGAGCGUUAAUCGGAAUGACUGGGCGUAAAGGGCACGCAGGCGGUGACUUAAGUGAGAUGUGAAAGCCCCGAGCUUAACUUGGGAAUUGCAUUUCAUACUGGGUCGCUAGAGUAUUUUAGGGAGGGGUAGAAUUCCACGUGUAGCGGUGAAAUGCGUAGAGAUGUGGAGGAAUACCGAAGGCGAAGGCAGCCCCUUGGGAAUAUACUGACGCUCAUGUGCGAAAGCGUGGGGAGCAAACAGGAUUAGAUACCCUGGUAGUCCACGCUGUAAACGCUGUCGAUUUGGGGAUUGGGCUUAGAGCUUGGUGCCCGUAGCUAACGUGAUAAAUCGACCG
rnacentral:rRNA from 1 species